rnacentral:lncRNA from 1 species
CUCCAUCUCAUCAUGGCUCUGGAGGUAGCUAUGGAAGCACACCACCCUCUCAUGGAACCCCGUCUCAUACGCCUUCUCAUGGAACUCCAUCUCAUACGCCUUCUCAUGGAACUCCGUCUCAUACACCCUCUCAUGGAAGCCCGUCACAUGGAGGUGGUGGAAGUUAUAAUCCAACUCCAUCACCACCUUCAGGUGGUGGUUAUUACAAUCCAACCCCAUCAACUCCCCCAAAUGGUGGUAGUUACAAUCCAACCCCAUCAACUCCCCCGGGUGGUGGAAGUUAUGAUCCAACCCCGUCAACUCCCCCGAGUGGUGGAAGUUAUGAUCCAACCCCAUCAACUCCCCCGAGUGGUGGAAGUUAUAAUCCAACCCCAUCAACUCCCCCUGGUGAUGGAAGUUAUAAUCCAAUUCCGUCAACUCCACCGAGUGAUGGAAGUUAUAAUCCAACCCCAUCAACUCCCCCUAGUGGUGGAAGUUACAAUCCAACCCCUUCAACUCCCCCUAGUGGUGGAAGUUACGAUCCAACCCCAUCAACUCCCCCGGGUGGUGGAAGUUAUGAUCCAACCCCGACACCACCCUCAGGUGCAGGGAGUGGAAGUUACAAUCCAAUCCCAUCAACUCCCCCGGGUGGUGGAAGUUCUGAUCCAACCCCAUCACCACCCUCGGGAGGUGGAAGUUACAAUCCAAUCCCAUCAACUCCCCCAGGUGGUGGAAGUUAUGAUCCAAC